rnacentral:tRNA from 1 species
ACGGGUAUAGCUCACUGGUGGAGCGUGUGCUUAACAUUCACAAGAUCCUGGGUUCAAUUCCCUGUGCCUCCA